rnacentral:rRNA from 1 species
AAUGGGCGAGAGCCUGAACCAGCCAUGCCGCGUGCAGGAUGACGGCCUCUGGGUUGUAAACUGCUUUUAUAUGGGAAGAAAAAGCUCAUGCGUGAGCAAUUGCCGGUACCAUAUGAAUAAGCACCGGCUAACUCCGUGCCAGCAGCCGCGGUAAUACGGAGGGUGCAAGCGUUGUCCGGAUUUAUUGGGUUUAAAGGGUACGUAGGCGGAUUUUUAAGUCCGUGGUGAAAGCCUACAGCUUAACUGUAGAACUGCCAUGGAUACUGGAAAUCUUGAAUUCAGUUGAGGUAAGCGGAAUUUAUGAUGUAGCGGUGAAAUGCAUAGAUAUCAUAAAGAACACCUAUUGCGAAGGCAGCUUGCUGGACUUGAAUUGACGCUGAGGUACGAAAGCGUGGGGAGCGAACAGGAUU